CAAUGUGGGAAACGAAUCAAUUUUUUAUAAUUUCUUACUCCACCGUUUCAUAUGCACACAUUAUGACAACACCAUUGAAACUUCCCCAAUAUUCUUCCCCCUUUCUCAUCGCUCCAAAUUGACUCAAAACUCGUAUCAUUCUUUGUAAAUUUCACCAAAUCCUUCAAUCAAACACGCACACCUCAACAACUCAUGACGUUAUUCAACAGUGUUUGCACACAUUGGUUGUGUGAAUCAAGGUAGAUUCGACACCAUCAAUUUCUUUGGUCUCAAAGCUGUAUAUGUUCGAGGGUUGUACAAGUAAAUAUUGAGUGACAACACUUUCCAAGAUACAGUAAGGUCAAUAAAACAUUUAGAACGUGCUAAUUUCGUUCAAUUCGUAAAGAUUCUUAUAAGGACCAUUGUCAGAUUGCAUUUUCUUGUGAAGUAGAUGGCAAGUAGAAAAAGGAAAAUUCAAAAUGAUGCAGACAACAUUAACGCACUUCACAAAGAAUGGGACGAAAUUUCUUGUCCUAUAUGCAUGGAUCAUCCACACAAUGCUGUUCUUAUUCUCUGCAGUUCUCAUUCAAAAGGAUGCAGGUCUUUCAUUUGCGACACAAGUUACCGACACUCAAAUUGUCUCGAUCGAUUCAAAAAACUUGUUUCUGAAACCACCAGUUCCACCACAGACCCGCCUAAUCUGAUCUCCGCAAACGACAAUCUAAUUGAAGAUGUUGAAUUGGCUGGAGGGCUUCAAGAUUCUGAUCACAACAACAACAAUGACAAUAAUAAUAAUGAUGAUGCACCGAGUUUAAAGCCAAAAUCUUGCCUAAAAUGCCCUUUGUGUCGGGGAAAAGUGUCGGGGUGGGAGGUGGUGGAGGAGGUGCGGCAGUAUUUAAAUUCGAAAUCCCGAAGUUGUUCUCAAGAAUCGUGUUUGUUUUCCGGGAGUUAUAGAGAAUUAAGACGACAUGCUAGGCGGGCCCACCCGACAGCCCGGCCGUCCGAUGUUGACCCUACCCGUGAAAGAGCUUGGAGGCGGCUUGAGCACCAAAGAGAGUACGGUGAUAUAGUUAGUGCCAUCCGGUCUGCCAUGCCGGGGGCGGUUGUUUUCGGUGAUUACGCUAUCGAAAACGGAGAUAAUCGGAUACCUGGUGAGAACAGGAGUCUUGUUGCGGAAGCAGGGAGCAAUAAUGGGCAUUGGUGGACGGCGUUUUUCUUGUUUCAGAUGAUCGGGUCUAUGGAACAUCCGCCUGCCGACCGGAGAGGCAUUGGGAGAGCUAGGGUUCCGACAAGGCAUCGCCGCCGUCGGCUUUUGUGGGGGGAAACGUUAUUGGGUUUACAAGAUGAUGACGACGGUGAUGAUGAUAGUGACGAUGGUGAUCCUUUUGAGUUGGAUUUGGUUGAUAAUAAUGAUGAAGAUCGGGUUCCUUCUGAGAACCCUAGGAGACGUAGACGAAGGUUGACUCGAUACAGAUCAGACGAAGAUCAAUCAUGAAAAUCUGGUAGCUUUUUUUUUGUUUUUCGGGCCGGGUAACGGGUCAAGACAGAUAAAAGCAAACCGAUGCAUCAGGUUUUUCAACUCUCGUUCACUUCGAUACCACCGGUGGAGAGAUCAUAAGCGUAUUUGAAUUUCAAAUCGUUGUUAUUUGCUCAGAUGUUUUUUAGAUUGAAGAAUGGUUGUUGGUUCUGUUUGUGGGGUGGGAAGAUGGGGGGGCUGCUUGGAGCAUUUACAUUACUCUAUUUGUGCUUGUUUACACCAUUUAUGUGAAGUAACUUGAAUGAAACCUUUUUUUACAAGUUCAUUUUUGUCUUCA